ACACUGCGUGAACAGACAGCGGAUUGGAGUGUUCCGUGCAUGGACUUGAGCCCGCUUGCAAUUGGCCAGAUUUUGUAUAUAAGCUGUGUGCUGAGAAAGGAUGGGGCUUUCCUGUCCACUCUCCUCCUUUCAUUCUUUCUCUGUCCCUGUUAUUUUCCCAUUAAAAGUCUGCUGAAGACCAAUAAGCUGCGAACAGUGUCGUUCCUUUGCGGGCAAGGGAGUGGCAAGUGGUGCCGUGACUCGGAUCCGGACCACUUUCUACACGCAGGAAUAGCAGCAAGCUGGCCCACAAAUUGGAAAAAAAGAAAAUUACCAUAACUCAAUUGCAAGGUAUUGGUUGGAGUCAAAGAUUAACACAAAGUUCCAAAUUGCUGCAAUGGGAGGAUGAAUCAGGUAAUGCUGGAGCCUGUCGCCCCUAUAUUUUGGCUGCAUUACUUGUUAAUCUAUGGAGACGUGAUAUUCUAACUCAAAUGGGGGCUUUCAUACAUAGUCCAAGUAAGAUUGUUACCAUUAACAUACUUCAACAAGGUCAUUUGCCAGGUAAGGGUUUAGAGAAACAACAACAAAGCAUCACAUCUCCAGUUACUGUAACUGUCAAUCAUGACCAGAGAGGCUUGGGUUUCCCUUGAUGGCUACUGGUCAGCCUGUGCCUCAUGCAAAAAAUUAAAUAAAAUAAAA